AUUGAACGCUGGCGGCAGGCCUAACACAUGCAAGUCGAGCGGAGCGGCGGACGGGUGAGUAAUGCCUAGGAAUCUGCCUGGUAGUGGGGGAUAACGUCCGGAAACGGGCGCUAAUACCGCAUACUAUCAGAUGAGCCUAGGUCGGAUUAGCUAGUUGGUGGGGUAAAGGCCUACCAAGGCGACGAUCCGUAACUGGUCUGAGAGGAUGAUCAGCCACACUGGGACUGAGACACGGCCCAGACUCCUACGGGAGGCAGCAGUGGGGAAUAUUGCACAAUGGGCGCAAGCCUGAUGCAGCCAUGCCGCGUGUAUGAAGAAGGCCUUCGGGUUGUAAAGUACUUUCAGUCGGGAGGCGUUACCGACAGAAGAAGCACCGGCUAACUCCGUGCCAGCAGCCGCGGUAAUUC
rnacentral:rRNA from 1 species